rnacentral:rRNA from 1 species
CCCUUAUAUGUUCUGGGCCGCACGCGCGCUACACUGAUGCAUUCAACGAGUCUAAAACCUGCUCUGAUAGGGGUGGGUAAUCUUUUGAAUGUGCAUCGUGAUUGGGAUAGAUGAUUGCAAUUUUUCAUCUUCAACGAGGAAUGCCUAGUAAACGCAAGUCAUCAGCUUGCAUUGAUUACGUCCCUGCCCUUUGUACACACCGCCCGUCGCUCCUACCGAUUGAAUGAUCCGAUGAAUAUCAUGGAUUGAGGAUGCAAGCAGGUUCGCCUGUCUUCAUCUUCGAGAAGUGAAGUAAAUCUUAUCAUUUAGAGGAAGGAGAAGUCGUAACA